rnacentral:tmRNA from 1 species
GGGGAUGAAAGGAUUUCGACGGGGACCAACAAGCAUGAUAAGCGGGUAGAGGCGAGAAUCCUCUAUAAACUUCUCAAACUUAUAAAUUAGAUAACAACUCUAAUUACGAACUGCAGGCUGCGUAAGCACCCUGCCGUUUCUGCCGGGAGCACCGCGGCCCGGACAGAAGCGUCGACUUGAGCGGUGAACGUGCAUCGGAGAGGGUUUCGACUCCGGUCAUGAACCAGGAACUACCGACGGCACCGGCCUGUUGACCGGCGAGUGCCCGGGGGAAUCCUAAUAGAUCAAAUACACCCGUAGAAAGUUGUGUGGACGGGUUUUCGGACGUGGUUUCGAGUACCACCAUCUCCACCA